GGCGUCCUCUCUCAGGAAAGCUCAACCAUCGAGCUCAGCGGACCCCGGACACACCAAUCCGGCCGCACUCCAUCCCUCGCGCUCGGUGCACCCCCGACACCCCCAAUCCGGCCGCACCGCAAGGGCGCCCCCUCUCGGGAAAGCGCAGGCUCGCGGCAUUGCGCACGGCCGCUCCGCCCUCACCUGAGCCGGAGGUUGGCCAUGAACUCGGGCAUGGAGACGGUGUCCAUCAGCACGAAGUCCGCCUUCCCGAACUCCAGGCUCUCCUGCUCCGCCAUGGCGCCGGCGCACGGGCUCAGUCCUGUGUUUCUAUUAGGACCAUCUUCUAUUUCAAAACCUACCAGGAAAUCUAGAAGCCCCCAUAGACCUGGCUGGACUUCUACACUAUGGCUGACUGUGAGAUGCGUAAGCCAGACCUAAGGACCUUGCUCACGUUUGCUUCAGCUUCCAACAACCCACCCUGGCCAAGAGAGAGGGUAAGACAGCUUGAUCACCUCCUGCAUGAGCACGUCUGCCAUGAGAAAGCCACCCCAAUCUCUGUCACAGGCAGAGAUGAGUUGUAGUCUGACUACCAUUAGCAGCUCUCGUUCUUCAGAAGACACCUCUCUGAAUCUCAGCAUCCUUGUUCGUGGAAUAAGACCUCUGGGUUAGAUACUUUCCAAGACCCACCCAGACUUCAGGGGGUGCUCCUGGAUCUUGGAUGUACUGGGAGCUCUGGAGGAGUGGUGGCUGCAACGGG